rnacentral:lncRNA from 1 species
GAUUUCUCCAUGGACAAUGGCAGCUACAAUUCAGGCUAUGGAAAGGAAAAUUGAAUCACAGGCUGCUCGACUACUUUCUCUAGAAGGUCGAACUGGGAUGGCGGAGAAGAAGCUGGCUGACUGUGAGAAGACAGCUGUGGAGUUCAGCAACCAGCUGGAGGGCAAGUGGGCCGUGCUGGGAACCCUGCUGCAGGAGUACGGCCUGCUGCAGCGGCGGCUGGAGAAUGUGGAGAAUCUGCUACGCAACCGAAACUUCUGGAUCCUGCGGCUGCCCCCUGGCAGCAAGGGCGAGGUCCCCAAGGAGUGGGGCAAGCUGGAAGACUGGCAGAAGGAGCUCUACAAGCAUGUGAUGAGGGGCAACUACGAGACACUGGUUUCCCUGGACUAUGCCAUCUCCAAACCCGAGGUCCUCUCCCAGAUUGAACAAGGCAAGGAGCCAUGCACCUGGCGUCGCACUG